UUGGAUUAAAUUGGAGGUAAAAGUGGUGUUGGAUGAGAGUGGCGAACGGGUGAGUAACACGUAGGCUAUCUACCCCCGGAUAGGGGAUAGUCCAUGGAAACAUGGGGUAAUACCGUAUAUGGUCUUUCUUAAAGGAAGAUUAAAGGUGCUUUCGGGCAUCGUCUGGGGAUGAGCUUGCGGUCCAUUAGCUAGUUGGUAGGGUAAAGGCCUACCAAGGCGAUGAUGGAUAGCCGGCCUGAGAGGGUGUACGGCCACACUGGGACUGAGACACGGCCCAGACUCCUACGGGAGGCAGCAGCUAAGAAUCUUCUGCAAUGGGCGAAAGCCUGACAGAGCGACGCCGCGUGAACGAUGAAGGCCGAAAGGUUGUAAAGUUCUUUUCUUAGCGAAGAAUUAGUUUAAGAGGAAAUGCUUGAAUGAUGACGUUAGUUAAGGAAUAAGCCCCGGCCAAUUACGUGCCAGCAGCCGCGGUAACACGUAUGGGGCGAGCGUUGUUCGGAUUUAUGGGGCGUAAAGGGCGUGUAGGCGGUUUUACAAGCCCGGUGUGAAAUAUCUCGGCUUAACCGAGAACUUGCGCUGGGAACUGUAAGACUAGAGUUUUGGAAAGGAAGCUGGAAUUCCUGGUGUAGGGGUGAAAUCUGUAGAUAUCAGGAAGAACACCAAUGGCGAAGGCAAGCUUCUAGCCAAAGACUGACGCUGAGGCGCGAAAGCGUGGGGAGCAAACAGGAUUAGAUACCCUGGUAGUCCACGCUGUAAACGAUGUGCACUGGGUGUAGGUGGUGUUGAGCUAUCUGUGCCGUAGCUAACGCGAUAAGUGCACCGCCUGGGGAGUAUGCUCGCAAGGGUGAAACUCAAAGGAACUGACGGGCCCCCGCACAAGCGGUGGAGCAUGUGGCUUAAUUCGAUGGUACGCGAGGCACCUUAGCAGGGUUUGACAUGUACAUGAAGACCUGA
rnacentral:rRNA from 1 species